rnacentral:rRNA from 1 species
GACGUAGGGCGCGAGCGUUGUCCGGAUUUAUUGGGCGUAAAGAGCUCGUAGGCGGUUUGUCGCGUCGAAUGUGAAAACCCGGGGCUCAACCCCGGGCCUGCAUUCGAUACGGGCAGACUAGAGUUCGGUAGGGGAGUCUGGAAUUCCUGGUGUAGCGGUGAAAUGCGCAGAUAUCAGGAGGAACACCGGUGGCGAAGGCGGGACUCUGGGCCGAUACUGACGCUGAGGAGCGAAAGCGUGGGGGAGCAAACAGG